AAAAAAAGGAAAAAAAGGCAUUUAAAGCCUUCAGCACUCCAGCCAGCCUUUUUCAAUGCAAGUACAUCUGGUUACAAGGCGACAAAAUAUUUUUCUGCUGUUAAAAUUUCCUUUCAACAAAUCUCUUCUGGUGGGGCCUUCAGAACAGCAUAAGAAAAGGAUGCCCUUAUCACUAGAAAGGCAGGAGAUACUUUUCUAAAUGUUUUGGCAAAUGCAAGACCCUCUCUUCACCUUUAGCAUGUUUCUGCAAGACAUGUUAGUCAAACACCUGCAGAUGCAGAUGAGUGAAGUGCAUCUUCUUUGUGCAUGUUCUCUUGGCCACCUUCAACUUUGUACCUCCUAACAGGCACAAGGCAGAGGGCAAGCCUUAUAGAAGGUACAUAAAUCUGUGCAAUCCUAAUGAACACCUAUCAGGACUCUUCCAUCAGGUCAGGCUUUCUAAGAAGCUGAAAUACAGCUCCUACAAAACAUGCUCUUCACUCAGCACAGACACAUCUCUUAACACUGCUUUGGACAGAAAAAGUAGAAAACUGCUCCCUUGAAGUCAUCGUGGGUGAAUCUCUUUGUCAUCCCAUAAAUCUCAGUAUUCCUUGGAAAACCACAGAUCCAUCUUACUGAUACCUGCUUUUUCAUCUGCAGACCUCAGGACUUCCUAUGCCUCACUCCGCCAAAGUCUGACAAGCUUCAUCACCCACCCACACUUCCCCUGUCCUGCAAGGAGAGUCUCAGACUCUGCUUAUGUCCUAGAUGUUUGCCUGUGCAGAUUCAUGAACCCAGUGCACCUUACUCAUUUCUGGGAAAGCCAUGCCACUGUUCAGCUGAAACCUAAAGCUGUGCUAGAAUAUUUAUUACAGCUAUUUUUCUUUUGGUUAUUCAUUUUCUUGGUACCUUUUGGCUGCAGUGUAGUGACAAUUGAUGGCACCAUGAUGCCCUCGUCAUGUGUGCUCUGCACGGCCCAUCCAGUGCCACAGGAGGCAGCACAUGGCAGAACUGCAGGCAGAGGGAGAGGGGGCAGGCACUGCUCCUCCUGAUGCCAGUCACAAAUGCCCAUUUUCCCUUCUAUGCUUUUAAGCAUGUCUCAGCUCCAUGAAUAAGAAGCUGUCAGGGAAUGACAUGCAGACAGCUAGUAUCAAAAAAUUUCUGUGUAGGAGCUGGCUCAUUAAUUUCUUGAUAUGUUUUAUGUGAAACUUCUGGAAUGAUGUUUUACAAAACCACUUAGAGAUAUUGUAUCUGGUCUGUGUACCUCAAACAUGCUGUGGUAAGCUUAUCUUUACAGUUUUGUCAGUUAGCCUGCACAUUUGUGAUCAGUCAUUGCAAAUGUCAUGGUAAGGCCCUGAUUUUGAAGGGAAAAAGCAAGUAAAAGAAGAAAAAAAACCCCAUCUUAUAGUCUCAGAAUAAUGAAUAACCAACUCCAAGGUAUAGGGCCAUGGGUAAGUCCCCUCUAGAUCAAAGGUGCCCUAGAGCCCACGGCAGCAAGGAUGAUGACAGAAGAGCUGAAGUGAUUCUGCUCUCUGUGCUCCUUCCUGGUGGCAUAAGAGUGCUCCAGGCUUGGGCCCACCACCAAUUUUGCUGUCCAGAGGCUCCAACCAUAAUUGCAUCAGCCUUACUUGCAAGAACAGUGAGACACAAACAAAUUCCUUGGAGAAGUUGCUCUCCUUUUAUGGUUUAAUGUUGCAAUUUCAGCUUACAGUUUGUUCUGUAGUACACAUACUGUUAGCACUUGAGAAAAGUCAUUAAUUUUUGUUCUUUUCCUCAGUGAAACAGUGCAUUGAUCAUAUUCCUUCAUGUUUCUUGUUGAAAUACUCAUUUUGCAAGAAGUCUAGAAGCAGGAAUAGGGCACUGCUUUGUAAAACGUUACAUGGUUUGGGUUUGUUGCUUUUUUGAAUAGGGAAGAGGCUAAGCCAAACUAAUGCAGUUUUUACUUUGAAGCACUAAUGAGUGAUGAUUAAAGGAUAAGUUUGAUCUAUACAGCUCCUGGAACUGCAGCUGCUAGUGCCUGAGGAUGGUCUGCAAGCAAACCAAGCGGGAUGAGCAGUCGCAAUGCAGAGCCCAGCAAGCACUGUUUGGAACAGGUUCUUUGUAAACACAGCCCCAGAAGGUGUCAUCUGUGCUCACCCGCUGAAGCAAAUCAGCUACCUGAGGAUCCUGAGUCUGCAGCAAAGAAACAUGCUGGGCUGCACUGUGGUGGCCCUGGUAUGCCCUGUAUCAGCUACUUGAUGGAGCCCAGCCAAGAUUGUGUUCAUGUAACUCUGGAAAGCCUAUACAGGAGGAGAAUCUCUGUCUAGGGGAGACUGGGAGAUGUUGAAACAUGUCAAAAAAGCCACAUAAAACUGCUGCUGUGGCCUUCCUGGGAUGGCUGUCAGAGCUACAGGGGAACCAAGAACAGAGCAAUGGUGUCCCAUGUCCCAACAUUUGAUGGAUCAUCCACUGCUCACUUUGCCCCAAGGCCGUACUUCUUGAAUUUUGAUACAGUAUUUUUCAGUCCAUGUCUCAGUCUGCAUUAAAUUUUGGUAAGUAUUUAUUUUGACAAAUUUUCUAACUGCCAGAUAGAAUUUAUUAUUUAUUAUUUACAAGAAACUUUGAACUGUAAUGGCAAAUGCUUAUUGCAGUGUUUAUGAUAACCUUUUAUGCUAAAAAUAACUUUUGUAAACAAGCUUUGAUUAAUUCUCACUGUCAGGAUGUGCACUGUUCCCAAGUUUAAGAACACUUUUUCCGUAGAUGCUUGCUCAUUUCCUUCAGUCCAACCUCUUGGAACGAGUCUGAAGGCUCAAAAAUCAGGCUUCUCCUUAAAAGAAAUAACUGUGCAGGUAUAAACAACCUCCUAGCAAACAACCUAUAAUUCCUCUCAACACCUUUGAUCUGACUCAAAGGGGUCUUUCUGGUCGGUUCAGAGGUAGACAAUGAUAAAAUGUGUUUCUCCUAGAGGUCACAUCAUCACCUGCACAGAAUUUUCCUGGCUUUGUCUCAUCCUGAUUCCUAUGCUUUCCCUCAACACUGCGUCUGACUGUCCUGCUAAGGUCCUCUGCAGAGAGACAUCUCCAUUCUUCACACAGCACACCAGAGCUUUCUCACAUCAGAAGAUAGGGGGAGGAAUCAGCCUGCCUGGUCACUUUCAAAAGACUUUUCUGCUCAUCCAUUAUAAUUUUAAAUAAACAAAUAACUUGCCUGUAAGGCAUUUUCCCCUUGUGGCUGCCUGCACCUCAAUUUUCCUCCCCAUCUCCCCUCACACAGCACACCCUCGAGUCAUGUUGCUAUAGUAGCCAGCAUAAGCCCACCAAGACCCAAAACUCCCUCAUGCCACUUCCCUACUCAAGAUCUCCAUCUAAGCUUGCUUGCUGGGCCUCCCAAGGAUGUCCAUGUCAAAGAUGGUCAUUCUGUGCGUACUUGUCCUGGUUGCAAAAGAUUCCCAAAAUUGCAGUUGAGUUACAGAAUUCUGCAAAAAGCAGUAUUUUCUUUUUUUUUCUUUUUUUUUUUUUUUUCAGACUGUAGGCCAUUAAUAAUUCUCUCUGCAGUUACCCCCACAUGAUUAGCCUUCCACCCUGGGUGAGGUUGGACCACCCAUAGCUGGAGAGUGGUAAAGUGACUGCAACCUGCAUGACUGGAGGCCAGGAGGAAAGAAAGGCUGACACUGAAUCCUCUUCACACAUCACCCAGGCAAUAGAGAAAAGGCCUGGGCUCUAGCUAAUUUAUGAAUCAUUCCCUCCUAGCAUAUAAACCACCCACUUGUGUGGCAGAAAAAGAGCACGCGCGUGCGUCACCGCUUGGAGAAAGCAACGCAAGCAGAAACCUCGCUCGCUCUGACAGAUUUCUAGAAGUGCAGAGGGAAGAGCAGAGAAAGCCACCGCCAAUCAAGCCACCCGUACGCUGGUCCAAAGCCCCAGGAUAUUCCAAGUUUUAUGAGUACCUUGACCAGAAAGAUAAGUAUUAGGAUUUCGGCAGCCAUUAAUCUCUUCCUGGAUUAUUUUACGAUGCUGAGAGUGCCAGCCUGUCCCGCAGCUGCCACGCCAGCACAAGCCUGGUACCUCAGAGGAUGUGCCAAAUGCUCUGUGUUCAGGCCAAGGCACAGCCCCAUGGAACCACCUGAGGCCCACAGCGUGCAGAGAAGAUGUCAGGCUGCUGAUCAGCUAUUAGAGCAGAUAGUGGCACUGCCUUUUUCCCUAUAUUAGGGCUAGAUUACUUUACUCUGGCUUAGCUUUCAGGAAGUGCAAUAUCCUGCUCCAAGUCACUGUAUGCUCAGAAAGCACCAAUGCUGCUCAUAGAAGGUCAAAAGAGCUCUGGGUCACCUUUGUAAAGCUACUGCAGCCCACAUUUAAAACAGAUCAGUGACACACACCCUCCAUCUUCUCAAAAAUAUUAGAGACAUUUGGAGAGAAACAAGGAAGAAAGCAUAUGGUCAAGUCUCAGAGGGCCAGCCAUUCAUCUCAGCUCAGGUCUUCUCUCCCCAGACUGGUUUUGCACUGCUCUGGUCCAUCAAGAUCAUGGAUUCCUUCCCUGUGGCAAUCAACUCUGACAUCAGCCAAGACAAGGCAAGCUUCAGAGAUGACCUGCAGAGUGAAGAAGGCCCAGCACCAACCACUCUAAACAACGCAACAGAAAUGACUGUUUCAACAUUGGCCAAAACUGAACUUCCUUUUAAAUCAGCCAAAUUUUUUUUGUGGGUUAUAAAUGUAUCACUCUGCUUUUCUCUCCUGGAAUCGCACUGCAGUGGUGGGGAUAAGGUUGGUUAUGACAAUGCACAACCCCAGAUGGCUAUCAAUGAUUUGUGUUUGAGAGAUUACAGAUCCUUAUCUUGGGGCAUUACUUGUAGUAAUCAGUCAAUUUUGACAGCUAAUCUAGAGGUCCAUACACAUUGUUGCUCAAAGGCUCAGCAGGUAUUGCUAAGAUCUGUUUUCAGAUAACCCAACUAUUUACCUACUCUAAAAAACACAUAUGAAAGGAUGUGCUUUAUCUCUUCACCAGCGGGUUAAAGCUAAAGGUGAAUGAAGUGCAAUUUGCAGGCUGGGGGUGGGGGGGGGAAGGGAGGUGGGCCCCACAUUAAAUUCAAAACCAGCCUCAUUUUUGAAAAGGGCACUGACCACAUUCCCAUCCCAUACCAAACCAGAACCGGCAUUAUUUUAACAAGAUGGCACAACUGCUGGUAAACACGGACAAUUUUUCAAUUAAGCUUGAUUUCAAGCCUAAGGGACAAGCACUGCCAUCACAUGACUUUGCUAUCAGUGGUAUGCGUACCUACGCUUCAGCCCCAAACCCUCUCAACUGUAAACAGUUCAGAGAGUCACACAGAGCAUUGUUGACAAAUCCCAAGUUUUAUGAUCUAACUCUGUGUUGUCCCUUGGGCAAUACCCACCAACAUUUGUGGGGGCAAACCCUGGGGCUUCAGCGGGCUUGGACCACUAUCUCAUGACAUUUUAGCUUGUUGUGUUGGCACAUUUGCUGACAGGUUCACACAAGGGGCCUUUGUGGGUAAGAACAAUGAGAGAGGCCUGCACAGCACAGGAAAAUGGGUGGUGACCACCAAGGGCUGAAAAAAAGCCUCUUUCAAAGGAAGGUCUUUGAAAACAUUCAUUACACUCCACCCAGCUAUUUUCACUACAGUAUUUCAGUACAUAAAAACAACACAGGGAAAAUAAACAGCCCACCCUUCAAUAUGUUGUAGGUUCUCCAACCCUUGAAAUGAAAUCAGCAAUCCAUAAAUAUGUAGAAAUCUUCACCAAAAAGAGCCAUGUAAGAGGCCAUCCACCAAAACCUCUCCACACCACCUUUCUUCUCUUAUGCAUCUCCAGGCUCUUCAUGUAAGCUGACUCAAAUGGGCAUCCUAAUUUUUAGAAUAAAAUUGAAACUCAGAAGUGUAUGGCUAGUAAAGACAUAAUAACAAGCAUUUAUAGGAACUGAAAAGUAACUAUAUUGACACAAUUUUAAAAAUUGCUAAACAGUCCACUACAAUGCAUUUCAGCUAUGAUUUUUUUUUCCUACCAGUUUCAGCUAGAACUAAUAAAAUAUUUCAGGUAAAACAACAGCCAGAGAGAAAGAAGCAAUAAAUAAUCUGUAAUUAAGUGGGUCUCUGAAACCAGCAGGCAGCUGUAAACUGGAAGUCAGUCUCACAGAGGCUUGUCUCCAUCACAGUCAGCAAGGUUUCCAACAGAGCAAAGAUUGAGCAGGUGAAGCCCCAGCCUUGGAAGCACAGAAAUAGCUCCUCCUCCUGAGGCUCUGGGCUGCUCUCUGAUGAUGAUCACUACAGCAUCCUUACUCGUAAGUUCUGUACAGAAAGGCAGUGGAGCAUCCACAACAGAAAUUCUGCCACUUUGCAUCGCCUUAUUUCAAGCAUGAGGUCUCUGCGAUGGAUGCUCUAAGACUGCAGCAGGGGCAGAUGCCAAUUCUCAAUGAAAAUGUUUUGUCUCCUUUAGAGAACCUUCAAAACACUCACUAAAAUUAUUUUGCAGCAUUGUUUGUUAAUAAGCCAUGCUUUGUCCUCCUGAAGUGUCAAAUCUUCUAAUGCUAAAGUUAAGAAAACAGAUCCUGCAAUAAAAUCUGUAUUAAAUCAUGCUGACCCUUCUUUACUUUUUGGAUUUUAACCAUGUUAACGUGCACUUGGUAAUGAUGGAAGUUAAUGAUUUCUCCUUCUCUAUCUCUUGGCGAUUUGCAGCCAUCCAUGGUAAGAUGAUGGAUAUCCAGAAAGACAGAUUAAACAGCCAUUUCUUUGGCAAGCAGGGAAUAGUAAUUCCUGAAAGUAACAAUACAGAUGCUCUAAAUUUUGAUCAUUCCUUGUAACACAGCUUCCUCCACUUCCUGCAACAAUGAUCAAGUGCAGAUUUUGAGGGCCAGGCUAUAGUUUUUGCCCUCUGGGGUGUGGGUUUUGUCUGUACAAACAUCCUGGGACACAGCUAAUUCUCAGCCCCUGCUUUCUCUUCGGAAGGCUGUUAUUUUAUACAGUAGCUCUUUAAUUGUCUCUCUCCUCCUAACUAAGUCAUCAGGUUAAACUGGAGCAGUGAUGACUUUGUAUGCUGUGAUUUUGAGUUCUCAUUAGUUUUCAAAAGUCUGACACUAGUUUAAGUCCAUAAAAAUCAAAAUUUAGUAGCUUGAGCUGGGGUAAAUUUUGUUCUUUGCUUACUACAAGGUAAAAGGAUUGAUACUAAAGGGUUAGACCACAUCAGCUACCUGCCCAGAAAAGCAGCAGUCACUUCAGCCAAGUUAGAAAAUUCCUCUAAAUUUACAGCUAAAAUCAAACCCUGGAGUGAUGUAACUUGGGGGCAAUCAAUAACCCCAAAACACCUUCAGCUCCUGGCAAAGUCCUGAGGAAUCUUCUCACUGCUGACCUGCCCCUCCGCACCCAUGCUUGUGGCAGAAGCCGGAGGGACAUCGAAACUCCAGCAGUUGAGGAGGAAACAGUUGUGGCCCCUCAACACUCAACUGCAGUAUUUAAAAUAUUUUAAAAAUUAAGGCUUGGUUCUGUCGGGAAUUGGCCGCUAGCUCCUCUGACACAUCACCCUGAAUUACUCACUAAACACUAACUUUCAAAGGGAACUGAUAUAAAGGCACUCUGUAUUGUAACACAAAGUAAAUAACUGGAUGCAGUCUUUCUCUUCUGGUGCUUCUUGCUUUAUUGCUUCCCUGCUCCUACUGUCUACUAACUCCUAAACCUCUAUGUAGCUACAAUUAAAAAAUGGAAAAAGAAAAAAAAUCUGAACAUAAGAAGCAGCAAAGCUAGGAAGAAAUCAUGUACAUAUACAAAAGUAAAUUCACAUGGCCACAUUUUUUUUCUAUUUUCUGGGUUUUACUUCAGAACUAUGAAUUAACAUAUCAGUAUUUUGGUGUUAUUUCUGUUGGAGCUUUUGGGCUUCUUAAGUUUAAGCAAACAAGGCACAUGUGCGUAUACUGGGCCUGAUUCUCAUCUCCACCAUGGCCCCAUCACCCCAAGAGGGCAGGAGGCAGGAGUCAGCUGUAAGAAAUUCUGUUUAUGAAAAACAUAAGUAGGAAGAACUCAAUUCUUCCAGAAAAGAAACAAGACUUUUUUGUUUUAUAUGAUGCCAUCCACAAUUGUAAGCUUACUUAACAACACAUUACAUCUGGGCAGGUCCUGGAGAUCUAUCAGAACUGUGCAUCUGUUAGGGUGUGGUACCUCAACAUUCACUGUUUUGAUUCUGACUAUACAGCAACCAAAUUUCUGAGGAGAAUGUCCAAGAUGCACAUGCUGAAAUGCAUGCAAAUGGAUCAGCACACACAGAAGUGGCCACAGGAGUUACACAAAACAGAUGGCAUCUCCCAAGUCAGGAGUGAGGGUGCUGUCAACUCAGUAACUACCAACACUGUUAUGUAAACAUACUUUGUGCCUCCUUACAGUGGUUCUUGGAAAAUAAAAUUCUUAUUCUUCUCAUCCUUUCCCUAAAUUAUGUAACUUAAUCAACUGAAGUGCAUAAUUUCCCAAAACCUAACUGCUUUCUCAGAAAAUGGAAAAAAAAGGAAAAAAAAUUAAGAAAAAAAAAAGAAAAGAAGCUGCACUCACUGCCAAAAUCAUGGUUUUGUUGUUAGAAAACACAACUGGGAUGGUACAGAGGCCAAAGCUGAGGUAGGUUGAGAAACAACUGUACCACCACGAGCAGAAGUGCAGGGGAGGGCUGAGGCAGAGAGCACCACGUACGCGUGUUGAUAGAAGCUGAAUCCAAAAUGGAACGUCGCUUCUUGUGCUAAUGUAUUCUUUUGAACUGUGUGUGUCUACUGCCAGUGCAGUUAGCUACCUUUGUACAGAACAUGCUGCUGUGGCCAAGGGUAGUUAUAAAAAUAUAUUUACUCCUUCACAGACGGGGAAAAAAAAAGGUACAGAAUAAAGAACAUGAAUAAAUAUUUAACUCUUUUACUGGAACAGCUUUAUGCUACUGUGAAAUACACUUAAGACUGAGGCAUAUGGAAAACAAAUUAUAAUUAAAGAGCAAGGCAUAGUAACAUCUAAUGGAGACAAUCUAAGUUGUACAAAUAUCACUUUAUUUAAUGUAGUUUUUAGUCAGUGGUACAUUUAUAAAGCAACAAGCCUUGGAGAAAUACACUUCAUGAACAUACUACUGAUUUUAUUACACAUCUUAAAAAUUUUAAAAGCUGUUUUAUUCAUGACUGUAUAUAAAAAUUUUCCAUAUAAAAUUUUCUCCCUUGUUCUUAUCCUCAUACAGAUAAUGGACUUCAAUUUCUGUUGAUUUUCAAGAAAACUUGAAAACCCUGGGAAAAAUCUUCAAAGACUGUAAGACAACAGCCAUUACCAGAACAAACCCAUGUGGAUGAAUAUUUUAACCACAGUUUCUCCACUUAAGAGGAAACCAAUCUCUCAGAUCACUAACAAUCAAACAGGUGAUUUUCAUGACUGAUACUAAAUGAAGUUUCAUUACCUACCAAUAAAUUUUUACCACAGCUGAGAACAGCUUUAACCAACAAAGCCUGGCAAAGCCUUUCUAAAAACACAGUGAACAAAACCAAUCCACCAUGUAAGAAGUGGAUGUAAGAAGAAAGAGGCUCUCCU